GAUAAACGCUGGCGGCGCACAUAAGACAUGCAAGUCGAACGGACUUAAUCAAUUUGUUUACAAAUUGAAGCGGUUAGUGGCGGACUGGUGAGUAACACGUAAGCAACCUACCUGUCAGAGGGGAAUAACAAUGAGAAAUCAUUGCUAAUACCGCAUAUGCCAUAAUUACCACAUGGUGAUAGUGGGAAAGGAGAAAUCCGCUGAUAGAUGGGCUUGCGUCUGAUUAGUUAGUUGGUGGGGUAAUGGCCUACCAAGACUGCGAUCAGUAGCCGGACUGAGAGGUUGAACGGCCACAUUGGGACUGAGAUACGGCCCAG
rnacentral:rRNA from 1 species